AGAGUUUGAUCAUGGCUCAGAUUGAACGCUGGCGGCAGGCUUCACACAUGCAAGUCGAACGGUAACAGGAAGGAAGCUUGCUUUCUUUGCUGACGAGUGGCGGACGGGUGAGUAAUGCUUGGGAAUCUGGCUUAUGGAGGGGGAUAACUACGGGAAACUGUAGCUAAUACCGCGUAAUAUCUUCGGAUUAAAGGGUGGGACUUUCGGGCCACCUGCCAUAAGAUGAGCCCAAGUGGGAUUAGGUAGUUGGUGGGGUAAAGGCCUACCAAGCCGACGAUCUCUAGCUGGUCUGAGAGGAUGACCAGCCACACUGGAACUGAGACACGGUCCAGACUCCUACGGGAGGCAGCAGUGGGGAAUAUUGCACAAUGGGGGGAACCCUGAUGCAGCCAUGCCGCGUGAAUGAAGAAGGCCUUCGGGUUGUAAAGUUCUUUCGGUGAUGAGGAAGGUGUUUGUUUUAAUAGAACAAGCAAUUGACGUUAGUCACAGAAGAAGCACCGGCUAACUCCGUGCCAGCAGCCGCGGUAAUACGGAGGGUGCGAGCGUUAAUCGGAAUGACUGGGCGUAAAGGGCACGCAGGCGGUGACUUAAGUGAGAUGUGAAAGCCCCGAGCUUAACUUGGGAAUUGCAUUUCAUACUGGGUCGCUAGAGUAUUUUAGGGAGGGGUAGAAUUCCACGUGUAGCGGUGAAAUGCGUAGAGAUGUGGAGGAAUACCGAAGGCGAAGGCAGCCCCUUGGGAAUAUACCGACGCUCAUGUGCGAAAGCGUGGGGAGCAAACAGGAUUAGAUACCCUGGUAGUCCACGCUGUAAACGCUGUCGAUUUGGGGAUUGGGCUUAGAGCUUGGUGCCCGUAGCU
rnacentral:rRNA from 1 species